rnacentral:rRNA from 1 species
UCUGGAAGUAAUACGCCGAAAGGGGUACUAAUACCGGAUAUUCUUAGGCUUUUCAUAAGUUAUGCAAGCAAAGGUGGCCUCUGCAUAUGCUACUGCAUGAAGAGGGGUCUGCGUACCAUUAGCUAGUAGGUGGGGUAAUGGCCUACCUAGGCGACGAUGGUUAGCGGGUCUGAGAGGAUGAUCCGGCCACACUGGCACUGGAACACGGGCCAGACUCCUACGGGAGGCAGCAGUGAGGAAUAUUGCGCAAUGGGGGAAACCCUGACGCAGCGACGCCGCGUGAGUGAAGGAAGGCCUUCGGGUCGUAAAGCUCUGUCAAGAGGUAAAGAAGUGUACAAUGGCUAAUACCUGUUGUUAUUUGACGGUACCUCUAAAGGAAGCACCGGCUAACUCCGUGCCAGCCGCUGC